rnacentral:lncRNA from 1 species
GAGCUAACUCAAGAGUAUGAGGAAAAGAAGGCCAAGUAUGACAGCUGUGCUGCAGGUCUGGAGAGUAACCGAUCCACUGGACCAGGUACAAUAUUAAAUGCUAUGUGUAGACACCUGACCUAACACCACAUAUGACAUUUUCUAUAUGUAAUUUGUUCACAUACACCACACAAUUGCAAUGUUCUCUCCAAGAGGAACAGUUCAGUUUCUUCUUGCAGGAGGUGAGAGCUCUGAGGGAGGCGACGACUCGGGAGGAAAACUGAUACCACUACAUCAACUGCAUGAAAGAGAUCAUUGAGUUGCAAAUGCAGCAAGCAGCUGAUGAGAUGAAGGCCCCUGAUCCGCAAGAGAGGAGGAAAACCAUCAGGGAGCCGUACAUGAAGAACGUUGCAGAGCAGGAGUCCCUGGGCAAGGUGAGCAGAGAGGUGCUUUGUGUGCUUUGUCAGGGUGCAGGCACAGUGCCAAUGGCAUCUGACAUAGAUCCCCUGCAAACACAGGGGCCAUACUUUAGGUUCUUCCUCACCCUGAUCAGAAUGGGGCCAGAGAGGAGAA